ensembl:lncRNA PPIEL peptidylprolyl isomerase E like (pseudogene)
GGAAGCAAGAUGGCGGCCGCCGAGAGGGUUCACAAAGGGUAGGGUGGUGUGGAGCAAGGCAGGGUCCUCGCAGGCAGUGCCAAGAUUGAGCUGGGGGUGGGCAGAGUGGGCGGGGUGCGGACCCAUGGCCCUACGCAUCCUGGGCCAGGUCUCUUGUGGUGCUUCACGCUCUCGACCUGUGAGUGGUGCCUGCUAGAGCUGCCCAGAUCCCUUUUCCCUACCCCUUCUGACCCUGGACCCAGAGUGGUGGUUGCGAUCUGCUACCGUGACGUCAGCCCUCAUUCGUUCGUUCCACAAACUCCACAGCUCUGGUCCAUUAGAGGAAGGAGGUCCCAGAAUAGCUGGGAAAUUACGAGAACAGCCUCACUGCACGAGUUGGUGAAUGCUGUGAUGGCGAUUGUAUGAUGGACGGUGAUGUUGAAACCAGACUGGGGAAUGACCGCCCCAUCCGGAGAGAAAAGCACCAAGGAUUCUCUUUUGUUGAAUUUGAGUUGGCAGAGUUUGGUCAGAUGAAGACUGGGUGGAGAAGUUUGCUGGGAAGAGGAUAAAGAGGAAGGUGGUUGAGACUUCCCAAAGCAGAAAGCCAGGAGCGCAGCCCAUUUACUGCCUUCUCCAGGAAGCUUUUCUGAAUCCUCCAGUGAGUAAGGGAGAGCCCACUGCUAAAAAAGGCCUAGUCAAAUCCUCAGGUGUACAUGGACAUCAAGAUUGGGAACAAGCCGGCUGGCUGCAUCCAAACCCUCCUGCGUUCCGACGUCGUGCCCAUGACCACAGAGAAUUUUCUCUACAUGUGCACCCAUUUAAAGGACUCGGCUUCAAGGGAAGCAGCUUCCACCGCAUUAUCCCCCAGUUCAUUUGCCAGGGCAGUGAUUUCACAAACCACGGUGGCACCAGGGGCUGGUCUUGUAUUCCUGGACUCAAGUGAUCCUCCUGCCUUGGCCUGCCAAAGUGCUGGGAUUACAGGCGUGAGCCACGGUGCCUGGCCCCAGGCCUUUUAGACUGAACUCAGACAUCACCUCCUUCAGAAAGCCUUCAUGAUGAGUGUUUGUGUCUGCGCAGGCAUGGCACUAAGUGUCCCAUGGCACAUUUGGCCCUCAUGGAGGCCUCAAAAGGGCAGGACCAGCACCCUCUUCUACGGAGGAAGGAACGGGCACAGCAGAAACAAGGAGAGUCAGCAAUUACCAGCCAGCCAAGGUCCUGGAAGCUGACGUAGAGCUCGUGCCGACGGCAGACCUGCCGGCCGUGGGAGCCGCGGACGUCAUCUGCAGGGACAGAAGGGGCAAGGUCUUUUCUGGGGUUCCUGCUGUGUGCAGCUACUAUGGGGUACCAGGGUGGGGGAUGCCCUGAUGAGCACAUUUGUCAAAUAAAUGAAUGACAGGAAA